GACGAACCACACGAACGUUAUUCGGAAUUACUGGGCUUAAAGGGUGCGUAGGCGGCGCGGUAAGUAGGGUGUGAAAUCCCUCGGCUCAACCGAGGAACUGCGCUCUAAACUACCGUGCUCGAGGGAGAUAGAGGUGAGCGGAACUUAGGGUGGAGCGGUGAAAUGCGUUGAUAUCCUAAGGAACACCGGUGGCGAAAGCGGCUCACUGGAUCUCUUCUGACGCUGAGGCACGAAAGCGUGGGGAGCGAACAGG
rnacentral:rRNA from 1 species